rnacentral:rRNA from 1 species
CUAAAACAUGCGUGUCGAACGUUUCCAAGCCAUGGAGGAAACGUGGCAUACGGCUCAGUAACACGUGGCCAAUUCACCCUUGGGACAGAGACAACCCCGGGAAACUGGGGCUAAUCCCUGAUAAGCGACGAGGCCUGGAAUGGUUCAUCACUCAAAAGCCUCAAGACCAUGCUCAAAGAGGCGCCCAAGGACAAAGCCGCGACCGAUCAGGCUGUUGGUAGGGCAACGGCCUACCAAACCUAUAACCGGUACGGGCCGUGAGAGCGGAAGCCCGGAGAUGGAUACUGAGACAAGGAUCCAGGCCCUACGGGGCGCAGCAGUUGCGAAAACUCCACAAUGCACGAAAGUGUGAUGGGGCUACCCCGAGUGCCGUCCGCUGAGGAUGGCUUUUCUCUGCUGUAAGGAGGCGGAGGAAUAAGGAGAGGGCAAGCCUGGUGUCAGCCGCCGCGGUAAUACCAGCUCUCCGAGUGGUAGGGAUGAUUAUUGGGCUUAAAGCGUGCGUAGCCGGCUUGACAAGUCUUCUGUUAAAUCCAGCAACCCAAUUGUUGGACUGCGGGAGAUACUGUUUAGCUAGAGAACGGGAGAAGCCGACGGUACUCUCAGGGUAGGAGUGAAAUCCUAUAAUCCUGGGAGGACCACCAGUGGCGUAGGCUGUCGGCUAGAACGUGUCUGACGGUGAGGAACGAAAGCUUGGGGAGCGAACCGGAUUAGAUACCCGGGUAGUCCAAGCUGUAAACGAUGCGGGCUAGGUGUUGGGGUGGCUACGUGCCACUUCAGUGCCGCAGGGAAACCGUUAAGCCCGCCGCCUGGGGAGUACGGUCGCAAGGCUGAAACUUAAAGGAAUUGGCGGGGGAGCACCACAAGGGGUGAAGCUUGCGGUUUAAUUGGAUUCAACGCCGGG